rnacentral:rRNA from 1 species
UACGAAGGGGGCUAGCGUUGCUCGGAAUCACUGGGCGUAAAGCGCACGUAGGCGGAUUGUUAAGUCAGGGGUGAAAUCCUGGAGCUCAACUCCAGAACUGCCUUUGAUACUGGCGAUCUCGAGUCCGGGAGAGGUGAGUGGAACUGCGAGUGUAGAGGUGAAAUUCGUAGAUAUUCGCAAGAACACCAGUGGCGAAGGCGGCGCACUGGCCCGAUACUGACGCUGAGGCACGAAAGCGUGGGGAGCAAACAGG